rnacentral:rRNA from 1 species
CCUACGUGAGGCAGCAGUGAGGAAUAUUGGUCAAUGGCCGGAAGGCUGAACCAGCCAAGCCGCGUGAGGGAGGAAGGCGCAGAGCGUCGCAGACCUCUUUUGCCGGGGGACAAAAGGCCGGACUCGUCCGGUCCUGAGGGUCCCCGGAGAAAAAGCAUCGGCUAACUCCGUGCCAGCAGCCGCGGUAAUACGGAGGAUGCGAGCGUUAUCCGGAUUCAUUGGGUUUAAAGGGUGCGUAGGCGGUUUUUUACGUUAGUGGUUAAACGUCGGGGCUUCACCUUGAUUUGCCAUUAAUACUGUAAGAUUCGAGUUCAGACGAGGUAGGCGGAAUAAGUUAAGUAGCGGUGAAAUGCUUAGAUAUAACUUAGAACUCCGAUAGUGAAGGCAGCUUACCAGACUGCGACUGACGCUGAAGCACGAGAGCGUGGGUAGCGAACAGGAUUAGAUACCCGGGUAGUC